rnacentral:tRNA from 1 species
GGGAGUAUAGCUCAGUGGUACAGUGCUUGCCUGGCAAGUGCAAGGCCCUGGGUUCAAUUCCCGGUACCG